rnacentral:rRNA from 1 species
GAUGAACGCUGGCGGCGUGCUUAACACAUGCAAGUCGAACGGAGUUUUAAUGAUUGAUUGACUUAGCUUGCUAUCGAGAGAUUUCAUUAAAACUUAGUGGCGGACGGGUGAGUAACGCGUGGGUAACCUGCCGUAUACAGGGGGACAACAGUUGGAAACGACUGCUAAUACCGCAUAAGCGCACAGCAUCGCAUGAUGCAGUGUGAAAAACUCCGGUGGUAUGAGAUGGACCCGCGUCUGAUUAGCUAGUUGGUGAGGUAACGGCUCACCAAGGCGACGAUCAGUAGCCGAACUGAGAGGUUGAUCGGCCACAUUGGGACUGAGACACGGCCCAGACUCCUACGGGAGGCAGCAGUGGGGAAUAUUGCGCAAUGGGGAAACCCUGACGCAGCAACGCCGCGUG